GUGCUCACUUUGUCAGCACAUAUACGAAAAUUAGAAUGAUACAGAGAUUAGCAUGGCACCUGUGCAAGGACACAUAAAAGUUUGUGAGGCAUACAAUAUUUUU
ensembl:snRNA U6 U6 spliceosomal RNA